rnacentral:rRNA from 1 species
CCCUUAGAUGUCCUGGGCCGCACGCGCGCUACACUGAGUGUCUGAGAUACGAGUCUGCCUGGUCCGGCAAGGUCUAGGUAAUCGCUAAAAGACACAUCAUGCUUGGGAUAGAUUAUUGCAAAUAUUAAUCUUGAACGAGGAAUUCCUAGUAAGCGCAAGUCAACAGCUUGCGUUGUUUACGUCCCUGCCCUUUGUACACACCGCCCGUCGCUACUACUGAUUGGAUGUUUAAGCGAGGUUCUCGAACUGCUAGCGACUUAGCUUCGGUGAGGUCGCAGUGUGGGAAGUGAACCUAGCUUUGGUGUCUAGAGGAAGUAAAAGUCGUAACA